AAACUUAUCUCCUAGUCCCUCUUUUAAUGUCUUAAGAUUUCUAGUCAAAUUAAGAAUGUUAUUUCUUUGUAUUAAAGCUUUUCUCCUCAUCUAUCUUUUAAUGCAUUAUUAUGUUUUCAUAUAUGUUGUUAAUGGGUAUAUGCUAUGACUAGUCCAUGGGCUAAGGCUGGAUCAGUUUUAUGUAAUGCAUGCUCAAUCAUGUAUAAUGCACAUGACCAAUAGAUGGACUGGCUCAAUCUAGCCCAAUAUUAUUGUUGAACUUGAGCCCAAAUAUUGAUUGAAUUAAACUAUACUUGAUUAGUCUAGAUCAAUUCAGGGUGAUUCCGAAUUGAUUGACUUAUUCAAGUUAGUUUAACCUAAAUUGAACUUAAUCUAGUCUAAAUUAUACUAGUCUA
rnacentral:lncRNA from 1 species